rnacentral:lncRNA from 1 species
AAAAAGAGAAAAAAAAAAAAAAAAAAAAAAAAAAAAAAAAAAAAAAAAAAAAAAAAAAGAAAAAAAAAAAAAAAAAAACAACAACAACAUGAAAAGAAAGAAAGAGAAAAGCGAAAAACAAUAAAAGAACAGCUUUUGAAAAAUGCUACAUUCACUAUAGAUAAAAGGAAAAGAGGAUUGCAUAACCCUACAGGAAUAAUAGAAAAGAAACGUAGUGAGAGAAUGAUUUCA